ensembl:lncRNA
GAGGUACCUGCAUACCUGUGGCCUUCUGAACGUCUGCCGCCAGAGCACCAGCCAUCUCCUCAGGGUUAACACCACCGAGAGGGAACGCAGUGUUGUUCCCGGGGGCAGCUCAGUACAAGCCCUGCUCAAGGCAAGAGACCUUCUGCAUGGAACAGACAGAUGAACAAAGAACAGGAAGGCUGAUCUCUGAUACGAGGAGGGAUGGGAAGACUGAGCUGCAGUUUCUGCCUUUCUUUCUAACUUCAUUAACUUCAGCAGUUACUCAAUACCUGUAGCUCAGUUGCAGGUCACAAAAGUGAAGCUAACACACAAGCGUUGACAAGGAACUUGUUCAUGAAGAAGUGAUGCUUACAUCAAAACUAGCAGAGAUAAGUAGCUCUAAUAAGAUAGAUGGUUGUGAAGUUUAGACAGAUGUCUGAUCCUUGCAUUUUCUGCCAUUGGUUGUACCAGCUUAGUAGGACCUAACCACAUUACUUGCUAUCAUGAAAAUCAUUUAAAAGAAUUAUAAUUCACAUAUCUAUUGUAAAUUGCAUCAAUAAGUUUUUUCUAUUAUACAAUAAUUGAAAAUGGCUGUAUGUGUAAACUAAAACUAAUUAUUCUCUUAUGAAACUCAUCUAUCAAAACAUAUAAAUGAAAGCCAAACACAUAUGCAUAUAUAUUUCUAAUAUUAAUUUGUUACUUUCUGUGUAUCAGACACAUCCUGUGUUCCAGUACUUAAUUCAGCCACCACAGUACCAUACCCAGGUAUAUCUUGGGACAACUGGCAACUGUAAUUCUCUGGGAAGAAUAGUUGUUCUGCAUCAUUUUGGGCUAAAUUCUGUAACUGAGUUAUAACUGAAUUCUUGCUAAAGUUCUUGAUUUUUAGCUGUCUUUUGGGGUCUGUUGCAUUGCCAACUGAAGUGUUGUGGAGCUUCUUCAGGACCGUUGUGCCUUCUACUUUUUAUUCUUAUUUCAAAAUUCCUACUAAGGCUGAGGACUUAUCUUUUGCAUGGUUUACAACAGUGAGCACCCGUAACAGCGGUGGUUAAUUCUGGAAAAUAUAACAAAAGUCUGUGAUGUUGCUCUCUGAUGUACUCUUUUUCUGCUACAGACAUACUUGUGACAUACUGUGUUUACCUGGGACCCGUCUACCAUCCUAUUCACAAAGCUGAAUCAGUUCAGACUUUCUUCUAUCACAGAUCAUAUUCAAGGACUCCUCAUUCAUUGAGAACUGAAAUUACCCAUUACUUGUGCAGGAUUUAGUUAUUCAGUGCUUGAUGGCACUAAAACCAGAAAAUGUUUUCUGUUGCACAAAUAUAGAAAAUUACUUAAACUAAUAUGUUUAAUGGAGCUAUAGCUUUAAAAUAAAACAGCCUCCCCCCAAAAAACAAAAAACAGGACUUAAAAUCUUUGUUCAUUGGUAUAAAAUAUAGUGAUCUCUUAGAUUUUUGCAGUAAACUGAUAUUACUUUGCUUUUUCCAAUCUGACACGCUUUCACAGAAACCAAUUCUACCACUGUAACCCCCUGACAUAGAGUUAAUUUAGAGAUUUGAGAGUAUGAUGCAAUAUCAGCUGCGUUUGCAUACCUCAUCACUGUUUUUAUUUGAAAUCUCUCAUUAGGACUCAUAUUACUGCUUGGAAACUUACUCUGUUCUUUUCAAUGAAUGGGCUGAUUUGGUAAACUUCUAAUUAUAUUCAAUAUGCUGGCUGUAAAAAGAUUCUGAAGAUCAUACUGGAUGUAAAAUUAUAGCACUAUGUAUAUUAAAAUUAAUGCUUCAAUCUAAGAUACUAAUUGGAAAUUCCGGGUUUACAAAACAAAAAUAUAUUUUUGUACACAAAGAUAUGAAAAGUUACAGCAUCUUCAUUUCCUUCUGAUGCAGUUUCUUCCAGAAAGACUGAAUCCCUUCUUAAUUUUUCUGGAGGGAACACACGAGAAAUUAAUUUAAAUGUCUUUAAAUACCACCCAGAACGUGUUUGAUGAACAUUUUUGUGUUUUAAAAUGUGUGUUUUAUAACAUCCGAGAAAAGCCUGAAAAAAAAUCACUUGCAAAAGUCAAAUUUUUAGCAAUGAGUUCUUUAUUUUAUGACGCCCAUCUACCCACGUUCCCAGAUUGUCUGCAGCUACUUUUGUAGUUGAAUUUUCUUCCGUUAUUACAUUAAAUCUUAUUCUAGCUAAAGCAUAAACUGUCCAUCCACUUGUUUCCCAUUAAAGCUAUUGUACAGAAGAAACGUGAAGUACAUUAAAUCAUCCUUUUAUGUUUUUUCUCCUUAACUCUAUUUGGUAAGUCAUUUUAAAAUCAAGAAAAAUCUGAAACUUAACAAACAUUUUUCAAAACAGAUUUUAUAUUCUUUAAGUACAUUUUCUUACCAUUUACAGUAGUUCAAAUGAUUCAGUUACACUUAAUAUAUUUUUAAAAGGUCCCACAGAAUUCUGUAUGAAGUCUUAUUUUGAUCUGUCAAUGUUAUAUGUUGACUUCAUAAAAAUGCCACUAACCAAAACUGAAAACAUGGGGAUUACAUUGCACUUAUUUUCUUUAUGCACUGAAAAAUUGUUAAGUGUCCGUGUGUCCAAGGGGAAAAAAAACCUGAACUACAGCAUAUGCAAUUCAGAAUUUCUUUUAGAUACCAAAGUUGCUGACUGCUGAAACUGAGUUGAUAGAGUUCAUAUUAAUUGAAAUUUGGCCGUAUAUAGGGCAAAUGUUAAGUUGAAAUAGACAGUAUUUUAAAUCUGUUUUGCCAUUCAGAUGCAUAUAAUCCACUGAGUUCUGACAAAUGUGGGCCUUGUAGACCUUACAGAUUCAGCCCAGGGUUCGACCAGUCAGGUUAAAUUUCCUGACCCACUUCUGCUACUCUGAUUGUGACCAUUGCUCAGAGAGG